ACGACAAAGAUUGUAUUGGAGA
rnacentral:snRNA from 1 species